rnacentral:lncRNA from 1 species
AAUCAAGUCCCAUUGUCAGGUAGAGGCAAAACCUCACUGUGAUGAUGUGACUUGGCAACCAAAAGUCUUGGUGACCUUCUAGCCAAAUAUCAGUAGCAGUUCACUGUUUAGCACAUAUAGGGAGGGGCCUGUGGGAAGCACAAAGCCUUUGAAGAGGGAACUGGAAGAUGUUUGUAUCCAGAUCGAAAGUCCCUCUGGAUCCCAAUAUGGUUAGCUCCCAUAAGGAAUGGGCUACUAUGACCCAUCCUAAGAACUACAUUUUCAGCAGGCUUGUAUUAAUUAGCAUCACAAGUGUUUGAGAAACCAACAAUAUGGUGAUGACUUUGGAAAUAGCCCUCAAGAGGAAAGUUCGUCUGGAGAGUGAAUUCUCAAGUGAAUUCUCACUGUUUCAAAUACUUACACACUAUGGGAGAGCUGAUGUCAUGGCUAACGGUGUUGGAGCUUAAAGGUACAAUUAGAAAAUAGAAGACUUCAGUAUGAGGAACAGCUCCUAACUGUUGACUGAGACGCUUUCUGCUGCUGUUUGUGAGGGUUCAUAAAGAACCUGUGUCCUCCAUGGGUGUUACAGACAUUUCCUCCACAGGAUGGAUUAAGAGAGGAAAGACCUAUGUUCAGCAGCCUUGGAGUCCACGUGUAAUAAAAUGGAAGAGGGAAACCUGAAGAGCAGGCCUCUGCGCCCUGAUGUCCACAGUGUGAGUCGCUCUGUCUCAUCACACCCUCCCUUUCUCAUUAGAUUAGGUCUUCUGAAAUCAUUGCCCCUCCCCCCAACUCCUAAUCCCUUCUUUGAACUUUCCUGCAUUUGCUCACAGCAGUGAGAAAGUCUGUUGUUUGGAAUGAAGGAUGGAAGACUUAACAGUUGACUGUGGCCAAAAUAGAGGCGAAAGCUCUUCAACACAAAUAAAAGUUAACUUUUCUUCCCUUAGUGUGUUUCUACUCGCCCCAUACUGACUCCACACGCAGCUGUCUCAUGGCACAUUGCACCCAUUGGUCUAGCCCUCCUCUACACUGGGAUCCUGGCUGCUCCUGCUCACGGCCCUCCAGUCUUCAGCUAUCAGUGAAGAGCUAGCAAGUAUUCGUUGGUAAACGUUCACUCUUAAAUUACCUUUUGCAUUUUCUACAGCAACUGAAAUGUAUAAGUGCAUCCUACUGUGUAGAAUUCAGUGGAAUACACGCUUGAGGUCCUAGGUUUAAUCCACAGCACCAAUUAAUUGAUUAUAUUAUAAAAAGAAAUAACUUUAUAGCUAAUAGAGGUACCUUUGUACACAAGAAGGCCUUUUUCAGAGGUAGUGAGUUUCUAGGGUAUGAGGGAGAUGAAAGAAAGCUUUCAUAGAAGAAAAAAAUUAUAGAAAUUCUAAAGUAAAACAAAACAGUCAAAAGGAAUGAGGGUAGGAGAGGCCUCAUUGGGAGGAUUAUCAGCAGGAUUGGAGGGUAUGAAAGGGUAGUGAGUUGAAAAUAGCCAAAUAUAUGUGUGGUGGUUUGACCGAGAAUGGCCCCCAAAGGCUCCUAUGUUUGCCUGCUUAGUAAUUAGGGAGUGGCACUGUUUGAGAAGGAUUAGGAGGUGUGGUCUUGCUGGAGCAGUUGUGGCCUUGUUGGAGGACUGUAUCACUGGGAAUGGGCCGUGAGGCUUCAAAAGCUCCUGCCAAGCCCAGUCCUCUCUUCCCUUUCUACCAGGGGAUCAGAAUUCUCAGCUCCUUAUCCAGCACCAUGUAUGCCUCUGUACCUCCAUGCUCCAUGACAGAAUGAUAAUGGACUAAGCCUCCAAAACUGUAAGCAAGUCCCUGGUUAAACAAACAUUUCUCUUUAUAAGAGUUGCCUUGGUCAUAGUGUCUCUGAACAGCAAUAAGACAGUGAGUAGGACAAUAUAUGUACAUAAAGUUGUCAAAGGAAGCAAAACUUUAAAAUGGGUCUAGAGGUUUUCCUCUCUGUGCUGUGUAUUCUAAAGGUAGGACUUUUCCUCUGUGUUGGGGAUUGAACCUAGAGCUUCACAUCUUAGUUGGAGUUACCAUUGCUUUGAUAAAACACCAUGAAAAGCAACUUGAAGAAG